rnacentral:rRNA from 1 species
GAGAGUGGCGAACGGGUGAGUAACACGUAGGUGAUCUGCCCUGGUGCUGGGGAUAGCCUGUGGAAACACAGGGUAAUACCGGAUACGCAGCACGGACUUUGGUCUGUGUUGGAAAGGUGCUACGGCACCGCACUGGGAGGAGCCUGCGGCUGAUUAGCUAGUUGGUGGGGUAAAGGCCUACCAAGGCGACGAUCAGUAGCCGGCCUGAGAGGGUGUACGGCCACACUGGGACUGAGACACGGCCCAGACUCCUACGGGAGGCAGCAGCUAAGAAUCUUCCGCAAUGGGCGAAAGCCUGACGGAGCGAUGCCGCGUGAUCGAUGAAGGUCGAGAGAUUGUAAAGAUCUUUUACUGGGGAGGAAUAACCAUGGGAGGGAAUGCCUGUGGGAUGACGUUACCCAGUGAAUAAGCCCCGGCUAAUUACGUGCCAGCAGCCGCGGUAACACGUAAGGGGCGAGCGUUGUUCGGAAUUAUUGGGCGUAAAGGGCACGCAGGCGGUUGUGCAAGUCUGAUGUGAAAGACCUGGGCUUAACUCAGGGAACGCGUUGGAAACUGCACGACUAGAGUAUUAGAGGGGGAGUCGGAAUUCCUAGUGUAGGGGUGAAAUCUGUUGAUAUUAGGAAGAACACCGGUGACGAAGGCGGACUCCUGGCUGGAUACUGACGCUGAGGUGCGAAAGCAUAGGGAGCAAACAGGAUUAGAUACCCUGGUAGUCUAUGCUGUAAACGAUGUGCACUUGGUGUUGGGCCGAUUANGCUCAGUGCCGUAGCUAACGCGAUAAGUGCACCGCCUGGGGAGUAUGCCCGCAAGGGUGAAACUCAAGGAAUUGACGGGGGCCCGCACAGCGGUGGAUUAUGUGGUUUAAUUCGAUGAUACGCGAGAACCUUACCAGGGUUUGA